UACGUAGGGGGCAAGCGUUAUCCGGAUUUACUGGGUGUAAAGGGAGCGUAGACGGCAGUGCAAGUCUGGAGUGAAAGGCGGGGGCUCAACCCCCGGACUGCUCUGGAAACUGUACGACUUGAGUGCAGGAGAGGAGAGUGGAAUUCCAUGUGUAGCGGUGAAAUGCGUAGAUAUAUGGAGGAACACCGGUGGCGAAAGCGGCUCUCUGGCCUGUAACUGACACUGAGGCUCGAAAGUGUGGGGAGCAAACAGG
rnacentral:rRNA from 1 species